rnacentral:rRNA from 1 species
GAAGAGAGAGUCAAAUAGUGCGUGAACCCGUUGGGAGGGAAGAGAAUGCGGGUGGCUCAGUCCCGUUCGGGUUCAGGCGGCGCGGCGGUCGCCACUGGCCGGUCGGAUCCGUCAGGACCGACCUCCGGUGGAUCGUUCGCCGCGCCAUGCCGCAUUCCCGUCGGGUCCGGUCAGCGAGAGUACGCCGGCGUCCGAGGAGGGGAGGCGAGAGUUGGUGCGCGCUUUCGGGCUCGCACUCUGCUGGUCUCCGUCCAGGAUGCCGCGGACUGAGGAUAGCGGCGUCGAUCGCCCAAGCAGCGCAAGCCCCAGGGCCGGACGGGCGUWCCGGGCCGAGGCGUCCGCGCGGGACUGCUCGCAGUGUCGCGCGCGUCGUCGGAGUCCGGGGCGUCGCGGUCACGAUUCGCGCUGAGGUCGCUGGCUUCCCGCCGCCCCCAUCC